AUGAACGUUGGCGGCACGCCUAAUACAUGCAAGUCGAACGAGAAAGCACCUUCGGGUGUGAGUAAAGUGGCGGACGGGUGAGUAACGCGUAGGAAUCUACCUGGUAGUGGGGGACAACUCGGGGAAACUCGAGCUAAUACCGCAUAAUACUCUACGGAGAAAAGUGGGGGAUCUUCGGACCUCACGCUAUCAGAGGAGCCUGCGUUGGAUUAGCUUGUUGGUGAGGUAAAGGCUCACCAAGGCGACGAUCCAUAGCUGGUCUGAGAGGACGAUCAGCCACACUGGAACUGAGACACGGUCCAGACUCCUACGGGAGGCAGCAGUAGGGAAUCUUGGGCAAUGGGCGAAAGCCUGACCCAGCGAUGCCGCGUGUGUGAAGAAGGCCUUAGGGUUGUAAAGCACUUUCAGCAGUGAAGAAAAGUCGGGGGCUAAUAUCCCUCGGUCAUGACGUUAACUGCACAAGAAGUACCGGCUAACUCCGUGCCAGCAGCCGCGGUAAU
rnacentral:rRNA from 1 species